GCCAAGGACGGGGCUUCUUGCAGCCACAUGAGCUGCUCUGCUUUGCCUUUCUGCAAAGUUCUGUUACAAAACAUGUUAAUGGCAACCAUUUUGGUUAGCAACUAAUUCCUUAGAGCAAAUGUCUUUAAGUCAAUUGUGUAUCAGAUGUUGCCACAUAUUACUUUGUUUUGGUGUUUAGCCACAAAUAGCUUGUGACAAUAUUUUGUGUUAUAAUACACCAUAAUUUACUUCUAGCAAGCAUGUAAUUCCUGAGAGACGGAGUGGCACUCAGCCUAUAUGUUCUUUGGUCUGUGUUAUAUUCAGUCCAACACAAUGGGUGCAGCUGAAUGAUUUAAUGUCAUCUCGAAAGAAUUCACACAGGCUGCUGAAAAAGAAAACCGGCCAUGGAAAUAAUUUGUAACUAAAUGCAUACAUAAAUAUAGGGCUACAAUGCACACAGAGGCAGUGUAAUGCUGUCCCCUGCUGAACUUUUCAACAAUCUUGGAGUUGUGCCCUCCUGGGGGAUAAGAAAAAAGCAUCCUGUAGGGUAAAUUUGGUUAAAUAGUGAGCUCUGUGAAAUGUUCCUUUGAUUUCGAACAGGUGGAAGCUCUGGAUUCCAUUCUGGGGGAAAUGAGGUUCAUCCCAAGCAUGCAGGGUCUCAGCAGGAGCUGACCUCAGGAGAGGAUGUUCCUUUAGCUCUGGGCUUACUUCUCCUACCUGGAUCAAGCCACUCAUUUGAACCAGGCCUUCUUCCUUCCAUCUGUAUCCUGCGACCAUUAAACCCUGACAUCAGGAUCCCACACCAAUGACACCCAGCUAACCUUCAGAUGGAGCCACAGGAGAAAGACACUAAGAGGUAGGAUCAGAUAUUAGUUCUAACCAGAUAAUGUCCUAUGGAAAAUGCUUCAGCAGCUGUCACCAACCUUUAUCUGAUAGUAGGAG
ensembl:lncRNA